rnacentral:rRNA from 1 species
CCUACGGGAGGCAGCAGUGGGGAAUAUUGGACAAUGGGGGCAACCCUGAUCCAGCCAUGCCGCGUGUGUGAAGAAGGCCCUCGGGUUGUAAAGCACUUUCAGUGAGGAAGAACGCCUGGUGGUUAAUACCCAUCAGGAAAGACAUCACUCACAGAAGAAGCACCGGCUAACUCCGUGCCAGUAGCCGCGGUAAUACGGAGGGUGCGAGCGUUAAUCGGAAUUACUGGGCGUAAAGCGCGCGUAGGUGGCUUGAUAAGCCGGUUGUGAAAGCCCCGGGCUCAACCUGGGAACGGCAUCCGGAACUGUCAAGCUAGAGUGCAGGAGAGGAAGGUAGAAUUCCCGGUGUAGCGGUGAAAUGCGUAGAGAUCGGGAGGAAUACCAGUGGCGAAGGCGGCCUUCUGGACUGACACUGACACUGAGGUGCGAAAGCGUGGGUAGCAAACAGGAUUAGAUACCCGAGUAGUC